AUGCUCACUGUGGCAGCACGUACACUAAAACUGGAAUGAUGCAGAGAAGAUGAGCAUGGUAUCUGUGCAAGAAUGACACACAUUUGUGAAGUGUUCCAUAUUAAA
ensembl:snRNA U6 U6 spliceosomal RNA